UUAAUGGAUAAGAAUGAAUAAUGAGAUUGUGUAAUUGGCUUAUAGACUUGAGUUUGAAUCAUUUCUUGAGCAAAUAAAGAAAUUUUGCUAUUCUUUCUCUAUAUAAGUUAUUUAUUUUAUUCUUCUCUUCUUUUCUCAAUUCUUUCCUUACCCUAGCUGUUCCUCUCCUCUCUCUCUCUCUGAUUUUCUCUCUAUUUUUCUCCUUUCUUCUUCCUUGUGUCGUCCCUAGCUGAGUGAUUUUCACCACUGUUGUACUGCCUUAUUGCUCUAUUACCUGGUUACAAUUCCUCCAUCCUUAUUGCUGGCAUUUUUAAUCACCAAAUAGCCUCUUUUCUUCCCUAAAACCCUCCUUUGAGCCACUUGAAUCAGCCUCUCCUUGCUGCCAUUAAACCUCCAUUUUCUCCCCAUUUUCUCCACUCGUGGUGUACUGGUUGUUUCCUUUUGCUUCUCGAUUCUUGUUCUGUUGCUUGUCAAUUUUUGUUGCUGUUUUUAGAACCAUUUUAUUACUGUUUCCAGCCUCUAAAAUUCAUCCCCUUUGGAUCCAAAACCUAUUUUUGUGCCGCCCCAAAUCAACCACAUUCUUACUGCCGCUUGUGGUGGUGUGCGACCCAUCAGUGUACCACUUAUAGGCUACAAUUUUUCUCUUCUUUUUCCUCCCAUUGCAAUAGUGUUCUACUCAUUUUUCCUUUAUUUAAAACAACCCUUAAAAUUCUUAAUUAAGUCUGUAUAUGAUCCUAUUCAUCUGACAUCUCAGAUCUAGUUAUCGGGUGUAAGCGCAGUUCUAUGCGAGAUCUUGCGUUGUUUUGAUUUCACUUAUAGUUGUUGCCAUGGUCGAAUGCUCUGAGGCCAUAACGUGAUUUUCAGUUACUAAUAUUUAAGUAUUCUUUCAAUCUUAGGUACUUAUUUGAACGUGUCGAAUCAGCAGUAAAGUCGGAUUUCAUUCGUGCCCUUGUUUCGCAUCAAAUCAAUGUAAACCUUGAAACUAGGACCGACCUCGGCAUACAGAGCGCCGCCUCAGACAACAGACUAUUUUUUAAAAUAAGUAUUAUUAAUAAGUCUCUAUUGGUUUUGGUUUGUAAUUUUUAAUGUCUUUGGUUUGUGUCUUGAUUAUUUUUUAUUUGGGGAGUUUUGCAUGCAUGGAUUACUUAAGCAUAAUAAUAGGGAAAUGCGUGAUAUUUGGCUUAAAUAAAAUUUGACAUUGUUCUCCAA